UACGAGUACCCCAAGCGUUAUCCGGAAUCAUUGGGCGUAAAGGGUGUGUAGGUGGCACUGCUAGUCUUCUGUCAAAAUCCAGGGCUCAACCCUGGACUUGCAGUGGAAACGGCAGAGCUCGAGGGUGCGAGGGGUGAAUGGAACUCAUGGAGUAGGGGUGAAAUCCGUUGAUAUCAUGGGGAACACCAAAAGCGAAGGCAAUUCACUGGCGCACAUCUGACACUGAAACACGAAAGCGUGGGUAGCGAACGGG
rnacentral:rRNA from 1 species